UCCGGCUUGACGCCGGCAGUCUCCGUAGAGUCCCCGCCAUGACGCGCUGGCAACUACAGAUAAGGGUUGCGCUCAUUGCGGGACUUAACCCAACGUCUCACGACACGAGCUGACGACAGCCAUGCAGCACCUGUGCUGGUGUUCCGAAGAAGGGCUCCUGUUUCCAGGAGCUUUCACCAGCAUGUCAAGCCCAGGUAAGGUUCUUCGCGUUGCUUCGAAUUAAACCACAUGCUCCACCGCUUGUGCGGGCCCCCGUCAAUUCCUUUGAGUUUCAGUCUUGCGACCGUACUCCCCAGGCGGCGAACUUAACGCGUUAGCUUCGACACUGAGAGCCUGAUUGCUCCCAACGUCCAGUUCGCAUCGUUUAGGGCGUGGACUAC
rnacentral:misc_RNA from 1 species